CACGUAGGGUGCGAGCGUUGUCCGGAAUUAUUGGGCGUAAAGAGCUCGUAGGCGGUGUGUCGCGUCGGCCGUGAAAACCCGCAGCUUAACUGUGGGCUUGCAGCUGAUACGGGCGGGCUGGAGUUCGGUAGGGGAGACUGGAAUUCCUGGUGUAGCGGUGAAAUGCGCAGAUAUCAGGAGGAACACCGGUGGCGAAGGCGGGUCUCUGGGCCGAUACUGACGCUGAGGAGCGAAAGCGUGGGGAGCGAACAGG
rnacentral:rRNA from 1 species